CGGUUGAUCCCGCCGGAGGUUACUGCUAUCGGGGUUCGAUUAAGCCAUGCAAGUUAAAUGUUUUUCGUAAACAUAGCGAACUGCUCAGUAACACGUGGAUAACUUAACCUUAGGUCCGGCAUAACCCCGGGAAACUGGGGAUAAUUCCGGAUGUAUCAAGGAUGCUGGAAUGCCCUUUGGUUCAAAGCUUUUGUGCCUAAGGAUAGGUCUGCGGUCUAUCAGGUUGUAGUGGGUGUAACGUACCUACUAGCCGACGACGGAUACGGGUUGUGAGAGCAAGAGCCCGGAGAUGGAUUCUGAGACAAGAAUCCAGGCCCUACGGGGUGCAGCAGGCGCGAACACUUUACAAUGCGGGAAACCGCGAUAAGGGAACCCCGAGUGCCAGUACUAAGUGCUGGCUGUCUAGAUGAAUAGAUAUCAUUUAAUAGCAAGGGCCGGGCAAGACCGGUGCCAGCCGCCGCGGUAACACCGGCGGCCCGAGUGGUAACCGAUAUUAUUGGGUCUAAAGGGUCCGUAGCCUGUUUAAUAAGUCCUUUGGGAAAUCUGGCAGCUUAACUGUCAGGCUGCUAAAGGAUACUGUUAAACUUGGGACCGGUAGACGUAGGGGGUACUCCAGGGGUAGGAGUGAAAUCUUGUAAUCCCUGGGGGACCAUCUGUGGCGAAGGCGCCCUACGAGAACGGGUCCGACGGUGAGGGACGAAAGCUAGGGGAGCAAACCGGAUUAGAUACCCGGGUAGUCCUAGCUGUAAACGAUGCUCGCUAGGUGUCAGGCACGGUGCGUCCGUGUCUGGUGCCGCAGGGAAGCCGUUAAGCGAGCCACCUGGGGAGUACGGUCGCAAGGCUGAAACUUAAAGGAAUUGGCGGGGGAGCACUACAACGGGUGGAGCCUGCGGUUUAAUUGGAUUCAACGCCGGA
rnacentral:rRNA from 1 species